rnacentral:pre_miRNA from 1 species
AGAUCUUUUGUUCUUUUUAAUAUUGAGUUACGAUAUGUUUAAGACGAACAGAAGAUUUUG